ACCCCUAGCAAAUCUCAAAAAACCGUCUCAGUUCGGAUUGUACUCUGCAACUCGAGUACAUGAAGGUGGAAUCGCUAGUAAUCGCAGAUCAGCACGCUGCGGUGAAUACGUUCCCGGGCCUUGUACACACCGCCCGUCACACCAUGGGAGUUGGCUUUACCCGAAGGCGUUUCGCUAACCGCAAGGAGGCAGACGACCACGGUAGGGUCAGCGACUGGGGUGAAG
rnacentral:rRNA from 1 species